rnacentral:rRNA from 1 species
GCAAGUCGAACGGUAGCAGCAUCUAGCUUGCUAGAUGGCUGACGAGUGGCGGACGGGUGAGUAACGCGUAGGGAUCUGUCCAGAAGCCUGGGACAACACGGGGAAACCCGUGCUAAUACCGGAUAUAUUCUGAGGAAGAAAGGUUGGAGCUUGCUCCAGUCGCUUUUGGGUGAACCUGCGUUGGAUUAGCUUGUUGGUGGGGUAAAAGCUCACCAAGGCGACGAUCUUUAGCUGGUCUGAGAGGAUGAUC